AUCUCCCCACACAUUGCCCCACAUCUGCCCCAUACUCUGACCCACACAUUGCCCCACAUCUCCCCACACUCUGCCCCACAUCUGCCCCACAUCUCCCCACACUCUGCCCCCCGUCUGCCCCACAUCUCCCCACACUCUGCCCCACAUUUGGCCCCCCAUUUGCGCCCCACCGCGCCCCACACCUCCAUGACUCCGCGUUCCUCCGUCCAAAAGCGAAAGAGAAACUGCGGCGCCGAAGCCCCGCCCACACCCGGAAGUGGGAGCACAAAACCCCGCCCACACCCGGAAGUGGGAGCACAAAACCCCACCCAGACCCGGAAGAGGGAGCACAAAACCCCGCCCACACCCGGAAAUGGGAGCAGAAAGCCCCGCCCACACCCGGAAGUGGGAGCAGAAAGUCCCGUCCACACCCGGAAGUAGGAGCAGAAAGUCCCGCUCAAACCCGGAAGUGGGAGCACAAAACCCCGCCCACACCCGGAAGUGGUGGGUCGGAGGCAUUUAGUGUGUGGGGCGGAGUGUGGGGCGGCCCCAACGGGCUCAGCUGUGGGGCGAUGGGGGGCUGGGGGGGCACUUGUGGGUCUCACUGUGGGGCAGAGGGGUCACUUGUGGGGCAGAGGAAGCACUUAUGGGUCUCACUAUGGGGCAGAGGGGUCACUUGUGGGGCCGGGGGGCAUUUGUGGGUCUCACUAUGGGGCAGAGGGGUCACUUGUGGGUCUCAUUAUAGAGCAGAGGGAGCACUUGUGGGGCUGGGGGGGCACUUGUGGGUCUCACUAUGGGGCAGAGGGGUCACUUGUGGGGCUGGGGGGGGCACUUGUGGGGCUGGGGGGCACUUAUGGGGCUGAGGAGUCAGUUAUAGGUCUCCAUAUGGGGCUGAGGGGGCACUUGUGGGCUGGGGGGCACUUGUGGGUCUCACUGUGGGGCAGAGGAAUCACUUGUGGGGCUGGGGGGUCACUUGUGGGGCUGGGGGGGCACUUGAGGGUCUCACUUUGGGGCUCAGGCCAAUCAGAGAGCGAGUUGCCUCAGAGAGAGGAAGGACGGGAGCUCGGGCCAAUCAGAGAGCGAGUUGCCACAGUGCAGCAUAAGACGGACAGGAGCUCGGGCCAAUCAGAGCGCGAGUUGCCUCAGAGAGAGGUGGGACAGGAGGUCGGACUAAUCAGAGAGCGAGUUGCCUCAGAGAGAGGUGGGACGAGAGAUCGGCCCAAUCAGAGAGCGAGUUCCCACAGGGCAGGAGAGGACGGACGGGAGUUCGGACCAAUCAGAGAGCGAGUUGCCACAGGGAAGGAUAGGACGGACGGAAGCUCGGGCCAAUCAGAGAGCGAGUUACCUCAGAGAGAGGUGGGACGGGACCUCGGCCCAAUCAGAGAUCGAGUUGCCACAGGGCAGGAGAGGACGGACGGGAGUUCGGACGAAUCAGAGAGAGAGAGGCCACAGGGAAGGAUAGGACGGACGGAAGCUCGGACCAAUCAGAGAGCGAGUUGCCACAGGGCAGGGUAGGAAGGACGGGAGCUCGGACCAGUCAGAGAGCGAGUUGCCUCAGAGAGAGGUGGGACGGGAACUCGGCCCAAUCAGAGAGCGAGUUGCCACAGGGCAGGAGAGGACGGACGGGAGCUCGGACCAAUCAGAGAGCGAGUUACCUCAGAGAGAGGUGGGACGGAGGAGCGCGGCCAACGUCAGGAAGGAAGGUGAGACAUUGAGGUGAAAAGCGCAGAUUGGCGGAGAAAAAAGACCCCCCCAGAGACCCACAGCAACAUAUAAUGUCCCGUGGAGACCCCACAGAGCCCCACAGCGCCCCAAGGAGACCCACAGAGAUCCCAUAGAGACCCACAGAGACUCCACGCUGCGACCCGCCAUGAGACCCCGUUGGUCGCCCCAGGCCCCGCCCCACGGCCCCGCCGGCCAAUCAGAGCGCCCGUAGCCCCACGGAGGGCCGCCCCGGCGAAUAGGGGCAGCGGAACCAUAAACCGUAGGUCAACGCGUGCCCCGCCCACCCGAGCCCCGCCCCCAACCCCGCCCCGGGAGCCGAAAUGGCCGCCAGCGCCCCCUGCAGGAGGAGCAGCAGGGCCGCGUUCAGCAGGAACAGCAGGAAGUGCGGGGUGGAGGCUGAAGGGCCUCUUCCGGUGCUCGCCGCCCCGCUUCCGGUCUGGGGGAGGCCGCUUCCGGUCCCAAAGGUCUCACCCCGGGCACUCAGGAGGCCGCUUCCGGUCGCUGUCGCCCCGCUUCCGGUUUCCGGCUCUCCACUUCCGUUCCCGUCCCUCCACCGUCUCCACUCGGUCAUCCCGGCUCUGAGCUCGGCCGCGCUCCUUCCGCUUUCCGCCACCCCACUUCCGGUUCCCGCCGUCCGUCUUCCGCCUUCCCCCGUCUUCUCCGUCCCCCCGGCGGCCGCCAUCUUGCCUCCACCCCCCCUUCCUCCCCCGCCCCACCGGGAAGCGGCGGCCGCCGCCAUCUUGAACAGCACCGCCCCCCCCCUCGCCGCCAUCUUACCCCCCCACCCCGCCGCCAUCUUGAAGACGACCCACACCGCUCCCAACGCUUUCCAGCCCGGACCGGGAGCCGCCGUCACGUCGGCCACCGAGCCAACCGGAAGCGCUCCCGAGCGGCUCCUGACGUCACUUCCGGCGUGCGGCGGAUGGAGGAGCCUCCCGAGCGGCCCCAGCUCUUCCCCCAUCGCCAAGCCGCACAGCACGAGGGCGAAAGCGUGGGGCGAAGGGCUCAGCCCCACGGCGGAACGGAUGGAGGCGAAGAGGGGAGGGGCGGCGGCCGCCAUGAUGGCGGAAGUGACGGCGCAGCGGGCGGCGGCGCGGAACAGCGCCCCCCAGCGGGCGGAGGCCGGGCGGACCAAUGGCAGCGAAGCGAUCAGCAGCGAUCCGACCAAUAGCGACGUCCAGCGGCCCACCGACGGCAACAGGCGGCUGUGGGGCGGGGUGGGGAAACGACACGUUGGGGCACAAGGAUUGACCCAUAGAUUGACCCAUAGAUUGGCCCAUAGGGACAUAUAGGGACCCUUAGGGACACAUUGAGACCCAUAGGGACACACUGAGACCCAUAGAGACCCACAGCGCCCCAUAGAGCCCCCAUAGAGCCCAACAGACACCCCAUAGAGCCCCACAGUGCCCCAUAGAGCCCCAUAGAGACCCCAUAGCACCCCAUAGAGCCCCAUAGAAUCCCACAGCGCCCCAUAAGUUCCCCAUAGGGUCCCACCGUCAGCAUCAGCCCCAACUCCGCCAUCCGGGCCGGGAAUGUGGCCAGGAGUUCCUUGGUCUGUGGGGCAGAAACGUGUGGGGCGCCCCAUAGAUCUGCGCCCCAUAGAUCCCUGCUGCCCCAUACAUGGGACCCAUUGCAUGCCCCAUAGGGACCCACUGAGACCCAUAGAUUGACCCAUAGGGACCCAUAGGGACACAUAGGGACCCACAGGGACACAUUGAGACCCAUAGACAACCAUAGGGACCCAUAGAUUGACAUAUAGGGACCCAUAGAGACACAUAGGGACGCAUAGAGACCCAUAGACAACCAUUGAGACCCGUAGGGACACAUAGAGACCCAUAGAUUGACCCAUAGAGACACAUAGGGACGCAUAGAGACCCAUAGACAACCAUUGAGACCCAUAGGGACCCAUAGAGAUCAAGGGGGACACAUAGAGACCCAUAGAUUGACCCAUAGGGACCCAUAGGGACACAUACGGACACAUAGAUACCCAUAGAUUGACCCAUAGAGACACAUAGGGACACAUAGAGACCCAUAGGGACCCAUAGGGACACAUAAGGACUCAUAGAGACACAUAGGGACCCAUAGAGACCCAUAGGGACCCCAUAGAGACCCAUAGAUUGACCCACAGGGACCCAUAGAGACACAUAGGGACGCAUAGAGACCCAUAGACAACCAUUGAGACCCAUAGAGACCCAUAGGGACCCAUAGGGACCCAUAGAGACCCACAGACAACCAUUGGGACCCAUAGGGACCCAUAGAUUGACCCAUAGGGACCCAUAGAGACACAUAGACAACCAUAGGGACCCAUAGAGACCCAUAGAUUGACCCAUAGGGACCCAUAGGGACACAUUGAGACCCAUAGAGACCCAUAGACAACCAUUGGGACCCAUAGAGACCCAUAGACAACCAUAGGGACCCAUAGGGACCCAUAGAUUGACCCAUAGAUUGACCCUUAGGGACACAUAGGGACCCAUAGGGACACAUUGAGACCCAUAGACAACCAUAGGGACCCAUAGGGACCCAUAGGGACCCAUUGAGCCCAAUAGAUUGACCCAUAGGGACCCACUGAGACCCACAGAUUGACCCAUAGGGACCCAUAGAGACACAUAAGGACUCAUAGAGACACAUUGGGACCCAUUGAGACCCAUAGGGACCCAUAGAGACCCAUAGAUUGACCCAUAGAGACACAUAGGGACACAUAGAGACCCAUAGGGACCCAUAGGGACCCAUAGAUUGACCCAUAGAGACACAUAGGGACCCAUAGAGACACAUUGGGACCCAUAGAGACCCAUAGGGACCCAUAGUGACCCCAUAGAGACCCACAGAGCUCCCCCAGCCCCAUAGCUCACCCAUAACCACCCCCCAUCCCCAUAGCUCACCCCAUAACCACCUCCCAGCCCCAUAGCCCACCCCAUAACCACCCCCCAGCCCCAUAGCUCACCCUCCAGCCCCAUACCUCACCCCCCAGCCCCAUAACUCACCCCAUAACCACCCUCCAGCCCCAUAGCUCACCCCAUAGCCACCCCCCAGCCCCAUAGCUCACCCCAUAGCCACCCUCCAGCCCCAUAACAGCCCCCCAGCCCCAUAGCUCACCCCAUAACCACCCUCCAGCCCCAUAGCUCACCCCAUAGCCAUGCUCCCCCCAGCCCCAUAGCUCACCCCAUAGCCACCCUCCAGCCCCAUAGCUCACCCUGCAGCCCCAUAGCUCACCCCAUAACCACCCCCAGCCCCAUAACUCACCCCAUAGCUCACCUCCCAGACCCAUAACAGCCCCCCAGCCCCAUAACUCACCCCAUAGCUCACCUCCCAGCCCCAUAGCUCACCCCCAGCCCCAUAGCUCACCCCAUAGCCACUCCCCAGCCCCAUAGCUCACCCCAUAGCCACCCUCCAGCCCCAUAGCUCACCCCAUAGCCACCCUCCAGCCCCAUAACAGCC
ensembl:lncRNA